rnacentral:tRNA from 1 species
GAAGGUAUAGCUCAGUGGUAGAGCUUAACAUGCACAAGGUCCUGGGUUCAAUUCCCAGUACCUCCA